GCACCGGUGAGAAAAAAGUUGUUGCGGAGGGACUUCUGCUCUGCCCCCCUGCGCCAGGUGACACACUUUCCCUGGUCAAGGUCUUCGUGACAUCCGCCUCAGUCCUGGACACACCCCUUAUUUUGCCGACCAUUGUUGGGGCGACUACCCUUCGCGAUGUCGUUGGUGAAGAUCCUAUUGAGUGGACCUACAAGGACCUCAUGCGCCGUCCCUGAAGCGUAUCUACCGAUUCACCCGUGUUAGUUGUCCCGUUUGUCUUAUGGAAUGUAUGUUGUACCUGUUUUUCGCUGGAUUGUGUUGAGGCUGUGUGAACGAUAUGUGGAAUGGAUGCAUAGACCAUUGGAGUUUUAAUUCGUGUGGUGAACGAUGUGGUUAUCGAUUGAUGGAUAUCCGUACUUGCUUAUUGUUAGGUUUGGUAUUUGAACUGUUAAGCCCGUUUUGCGG